UGUCUUGAUCAUACCACCUUGAAGUUGCCUGAUCUUGUCUGAUCUCAGAAGUGCAGCAGAGAGGGGCCUGGUUAGUGCUUAAAUGAGAGAA
ensembl:rRNA 5S_rRNA 5S ribosomal RNA